rnacentral:rRNA from 1 species
UACGGGGGGGAGCAAGCGUUGUCCGGAAUCAUUGGGCGUAAAGAGCGUGUAGGCGGCCAGAUAAGUCCGCUGUGAAAUCUCGAGGCUCAACUUCGAGCUGUCGGUGGAAACUGUCUGGCUAGAGUCCGGAAGAGGAGAAUGGAAUUCCUGGUGUAGCGGUGAAAUGCGCAGAUAUCAGGAGGAACACCGGUGGCGAAGGCGGGUCUCUGGGCCGAUACUGACGCUGAGGAGCGAAAGCGUGGGGAGCGAACAGG